ACAGCAAAAUCUGCGGUGUUAAAUAGUGUUAAUAUUUCAGUGUUAAUUAUUUCGAGCUGCUUAGUGUUGAUUUUGGUGUUAUUUUAACACUUGCAGUGCUAAAAUAGCUCUGUGCGUGGUGUUGUUUAAGAGAGUUGAUUGUAUGCACUCUCAACGGAGUUAAUCUCAGAGAUAAUUCCAUAUCCGGUUUUAAGGCGCUCUUUUUCUUGAAAACGGCCAUUGCACUGCAGUCUUGGUAGAGAAAGGCAGCCCAGCUUCUGGAAGGGGAACGUAAUAUACUAUUUGAAAAGAAGUGCAACACGUGGUGGGUUCUGGAGGGUGCUUGAAAAGUUUCUGUCGGGUAAGUAACUGCAAAGUUAGAUCGAUUAAAUAUGCAUGUUAUGGCUUGGCCGAUUUUUAAAUGAGUGGUUUAGUAUAUUUGCUUGUUGUAGUAGGCUAGUUAAAAUGUGUUUCACUGAUCUGCAUCUGCAAAUCAUGAUCUGCACUCAUUCGUCAAACAAAUUGACGUUGGCGCACAUGGCUAAUUAGCAUUGGCGCACAUGGCUAAUUAGCAUUGACGCACAGGACUGGCUGGCUCCGCAAGGCAAAUAAUGGAACAUAUUUAUCUAUCUAUCUAGGGCUAUCUGUCUAUCUAUCCGUCUAUCAACGUGUGUGGUUUUCAUGUGAUGUACUUUCUAUGUCCAGUCAGACUUGUAUCCCUUGUUCUGUGUGGUCUUGUAGGCUACAGUCCUGUGUGAGCCGAAUCACCUAAAUGAAUGCCCGACGAUUUGUGUCGUUUGGUAUUAAUAAAGACUUGACUAUCGAUCUAGACUAUUUAUUUUAAAAAUGAUUCACCUCAGGCUCCGUGAAUAGUGGGGAAUAGAGGGAUAAAAGACAAGAGAUAUAUCCCUUGUCAUUUAUCCCUCGUCUUGUCGAUUAGUUUGUGUAUGUGACGAUUUCAAAAACGUAUUUUUGUUUAAAGCAUGACUACACGCGAUUGGUUGGUUAGAUGGUGGUAUGGAGAGCAAAUGAAAAUGAUUCACGUAAGGGAUAAUGCCCGACGAGGUGUCCAUUAUCAGGAAUUAAUGGACGACGUGGAGGACGGUUGCCUCCGCGAAGGGCCUCCGCGAAGGGCAUUAUCCCGCUUAUACCACGGUCACUUACCAACGGUGACCAAAUUAAGAUCAUUAAUUUAUAUUUUCAUGCGUUUUACAAUCUGAAUAUAAAGUUUUCCACAAAACAUACAUUUGUUUCCCUGGUUACGCCUGAGGGUCCGACUAAUACCCGGAACCACCAUUACACGCCCGUUGGGUUCUCAUGCAACGGAAACGUUGUUCACUCCUCCAGUAAUUAGGACGGACCAUAGCAGCUAGCUGCAUCCAAUCAGAAUCGAGUAUUCCCGCAGACCGUGGUAUAAGCUUAAAUACGAACGUUCUAGAUCGCAAAUAUUUUCUAUAAAUACUCCCGCUUAUCAUCACUUUGUAUCAAAAUCACUAUGGAUGUUGCACUCAAUAACUAUUGAACACAAAACAGAAAACACAGCUGCCAUUAUCACUGUCACUGACAGCGAUAUAUCGUUUCACUUCUUAUGACAAAUGUACUUAUUGCAAGUCGCUUUGGUUAAAAGCGUCUGCUAAAUGGACAUUUGUCAGCUGUCAAUCCUCUAUUAAACUGCAUUGAAGUGAUACGUUUGUUCCGUGCACUAUUCAUUUGCAUUAUUAUUGCAUUAUUAUGCGUGCAUUAUUCCUUUGCACAACGUAUGUAUUUUUUUUUUAUAUUUGAAAACGAUAUCGUCCCAUUCAGAGCAAGGAAGAUUAGUAUGAUAGGAUCUCGGUUAGCAGGCAUGCAUCGCGCCUAUUUUACAAUAAUCUCAAACGUUUCAUUAACUCGCAUACAGACCAACCAACCACGCUUGAUGCCCAGGCCAGAACCUUUUUGUUGCGAUCUCUGAAAUGAAAGGAAACUUAGUGCUAAGUUAGAUAACUAAAAUAUGCAUGUAGUGUAUUUUUUAGCUAAUGGCCACAUGACUUGCAAUUUCUGUUUCUAACUCCUGGCAAAGGAAUAAUUAAAACUUUAACAUUAUCUCCACUGUUUUUUGUUUUUUUUAGAUAAGGCAUCAUGUUGCUGAAGGUGAAAUACCAGGGUACCAAGAAGUACAUCAGAUUGCAGUCAGGCUUCACCUAUUUGGAAUUCAUCAAUGAAGUCAAAAGCAAGUUUUGUCUUCCUGAUGCGACUGACCUUCAAAUCUUUGAUGAAACCGACACAGCAGUGGAUGAAGACAUCCUUCUUGAACUGAUAGAGUCCAAUCCUGACUUAUGCCU